GCAGGCUGCAACUCGCCUGCACGAAGUCGGAAUUGCUAGUAAUCGGUAGGUCAGCAUACUACGGUGAAUACGUUCCCGGGCCUUGUACACACCGCCCGUCAAACCAUGAGAGUUGGCAACACCCGAAGUCGGUAGUCUAACCGCAAGGAGGACGCCGCCGAAGGGUGGGGGUUGAUGAUUAGGGUUAAGUCGUAACAAGGUAUC
rnacentral:rRNA from 1 species